AAACAUUUGAGUGAGUGGCGGACGGGUGAGUAACACGUGGGUAACCUGCCCUAAAGUGGGGGAUAACAUUUGGAAACAGAUGCUAAUACCGCAUAAAACCUAACACCGCAUGGUGUAGGGUUGAAAGAUGGUUUCGGCUAUCACUUUAGGAUGGACCCGCGGUGCAUUAGUUAGUUGGUGAGGUAAAGGCUCACCAAGACCGUGAUGCAUAGCCGACCUGAGAGGGUAAUCGGCCACACUGGGACUGAGACACGGCCCAGACUCCUACGGGAGGCAGCAGUAGGGAAUCUUCCACAAUGGACGAAAGUCUGAUGGAGCAACGCCGCGUGAGUGAAGAAGGUUUUCGGAUCGUAAAACUCUGUUGUUGGAGAAGAAUGUAUCUGAUAGUAACUGAUCAGGUAGUGACGGUAUCCAACCAGAAAGCCACGGCUAACUACGUG
rnacentral:rRNA from 1 species